rnacentral:rRNA from 1 species
UGUGGAAUAUUGCACAAUGGGGGAAACCCUGAUGCAGCGACGCCGCGUGAACGAAGAAGGUAUUCGUAUCGUAAAGUUCUGUCCUAUGGGAAGAUAAUGACAGUACCAUAGAAGAAAGCUCCGGCUAAAUACGUGCCAGCAGCCGCGGUAAUACGUAUGGAGCGAGCGUUGUCCGGAAUUAUUGGGCGUAAAGGGUACGCAGGCGGUUUAAUAAGUCGAAUGUUAAAGAUCGGGGCUCAACCCCGCAAAGCAUUGGAGACUGAUAAACUUGAGUAGUGGAGAGGAAAGUGGAAUUCCUAGUGUAGUGGUGAAAUACGUAGAUAUUAGGAAGAAUACCAGUAGCGAAGGCGACUUUCUGGACAGAAACUGACGCUGAGGUACGAAAGCGUGGGGAGCAAACAGG